UUAAAUUGAAGAGUUUGAUCAUGGCUCAGAUUGAACGCUGGCGGCAGGCCUAACACAUGCAAGUCGAACGGUAACAGGAAGCAGCUUGCUGCUUCGCUGACGAGUGGCGGACGGGUGAGUAAUGUCUGGGAAACUGCCUGAUGGAGGGGGAUAACUACUGGAAACGGUAGCUAAUACCGCAUAACGUCGCAAGACCAAAGAGGGGGACCUUCGGGCCUCUUGCCAUCGGAUGUGCCCAGAUGGGAUUAGCUAGUAGGUGGGGUAACGGCUCACCUAGGCGACGAUCCCUAGCUGGUCUGAGAGGAUGACCAGCCACACUGGAACUGAGACACGGUCCAGACUCCUACGGGAGGCAGCAGUGGGGAAUAUUGCACAAUGGGCGCAAGCCUGAUGCAG
rnacentral:rRNA from 1 species